rnacentral:lncRNA from 1 species
AUGGAUUUCUGUUUGCCCCUGUGUCCAGAGGCCAGGCAACCUCCAAGGACUGGUUGUAUGAGUGAUGCUGCUGCUGUGGUGAGGCCAUGGAGGGUCCUGAGGAGACAGAGCCCCACUCCCUGUGGCAGCUGGGAGCUCUUUGAAGGUGGAGACUGUAUCUGAUUCAUCCCAGGCCAAACAUGCUGCAUACAGGAGACCAGCAGACCCUAACCUCAUGCCCACAUCUACUCAGCGCCCACUGUUCCCAUGCCCGCCACUGGUCCUGUCUCCUGAGGGCCUGCCUGAGGAUGAGCAGACUUGACUCACGCAAUGCAGCAGCCCAGGAGUGCUGUCUGGAACAAAGAGGCCCCGAGGCCCAGUGGGAGAUUUGGGCAGCAGAGGACAGCCCACCCGCAUGGACCACAUAAGGUGGGACAGCGACAAGACACUGGAAAGAGUGUUUACAUGUAUUGGAAAGGCUGUGUCUGGGCUGAGAUGGGGGUGUGUCUGUGGUGGGCUGGAGGUGGGUUGGUGGGAGGAGUACCUGCGCUGGCUAAGCCCAUUGUCACAGAGCCAUGGGAGGUCAAGGAGACAGCCACAUGACGGGCCAGACUUUUGGGAACUUGGAGGUGCUCUUGGACCAGCACCUUCGUUCUCCAAACCAGGGCACUAGGCCCAGGGAAAGAAGGCAUGCUCAAGGUCACAUGGUGAGUUACAGGGGAUACAUACCAGAGAACUCCCACCCCACAGUGCUGCCUUUCUAAUGAGCUGCCUGCCAGGAGCCACUCCUGGCAAAGACAAACGAAAAGAAAAAGCUGUUAUCAAUAGAGCAGGUGGGGAUCCAGGCUGGAGACAGGGAAGGGAAACCACAGUGGGCUUGGAUGUCAGGAUGGCUUUCUCCUUCCAGUUAGAGGAUAUAUGACAAGCACUCAUAAAGGGGAAGAGAUGGGGAUGGGACAGUGAAAGUCCAUAGAAAUAAGCCAAUUGAUAUAAAACAAACAGGUGAGCUGAUUUUUUAAACCAAAACCAAAGUAGUAAAUACAAAAGAAAUACUGGCCUUAGAAACAAACCAUCCCUGUUUAUUGGACUAGAAUACACACAGAUGUGC